AUUUACUUUUAAAAUGUGUAACCUUAAAGUUAUUUAGACUAUGAGGAAGCAGCUUAGAGAGGGCAGUCAACAAAAAUAGCCAACACAUCGCUAGCUAAAAAGCUGUACAAUACAUUUUAUUACUAUUAACUAUAACUACCUAAUGGUUAGUAAAGCAGCAAAUAUUGUAUUUAGAUGCUUAUUUUGUAACUGAAGCAGCUGUGUUUGGACAUUUGUCCUGGUUAUUAAAACAGCAAAUGUACGUUUGUACACUUAACUAGCCUAGCUAGCUAACCUACCAAUAAUAAUGGUCCAACACCAUCAAUGCCAUAUUUGUACAAUGGUCAGAACAUUGGCAUGGUCCCAGCAGAGCUGCUUCGUUCCCCCAACAUAUCAUAGUGACCGGAACUGUAACAUCGGGUCAAAGGGAGCCAAGAAAGUUAUAUUCAUACAUCUCAAUUUGGGACAGAAUGGAAAGAUUAAUUGCAAUUUUCCACACUGGAAGAAUGGAAAGCGAGGCGGUCGAGCUGGGGAAACUGAAAAGGACCUUCAUUAACCAAAGCCAUCAUCUGGACUGACCAUGGAGUUGCAUUUAAAGAAAAAUAGUUUGUUUUGACGUGAAAUGCUCCAUUCUAGAGAAAGCUGUCAAAUCAGAUUAAAGUUUAUUGCCUCUAAAAGCUCUAUUAGAGAAAAUUAUAGAAAUAUAUGCUAGAAAUAUGCUGCUUGAUGUCUGAUGCAUUGUUUUUAUGAAAGAUCUGUGCUAAAGUUUUAGCAUAAAAGGUAUUUUAAGUCGUUUUUUGAAUGCAUCAGUAGUGAAAAAAUACACCAACGAGUGGAAGUACUAAG
rnacentral:lncRNA from 1 species